AUUGAACGCUGGCGGCAUGCCUUACACAUGCAAGUCGAACGGUAACGGGCCUUCGGGUGCCGACGAGUGGCGAACGGGUGAGUAAUGCAUCGGAACGUACCUUUCAGUGGGGGAUAACGUAGCGAAAGUUACGCUAAUACCGCAUAUUCUGUGAGCAGGAAAGCAGGGGAUCGCAAGACCUUGCGCUGAUUGAGCGGCCGAUGGAAGAUUAGCUAGUUGGUGAGGUAAAGGCUCACCAAGGCGACGAUCUGUAGCGGGUCUGAGAGGAUGAUCCGCCACACUGGAACUGAGACACGGUCCAGACUCCUACGGGAGGCAGCAGUGGGGAAUUUUGGACAAUGGGGGCAACCCUGAUCCAGCCAUGCCGCGUGAGUGAAGAAGGCCUUCGGGUUGUAAAGCUCUUUCGGUCGGGAAGAAAUCGCAUGGGUUAAUACCCUGUGCGGAUGACGGUACCGGCAUAAGAAGCACCGGCUAACUACGUGCCAGCCGCCGCCGUAAUAC
rnacentral:rRNA from 1 species